rnacentral:misc_RNA from 1 species
GGAAGAAAUGCACUACAUGAGGGGGUAUAUUUUUCUUUAAAACAAUAAAUAAAAAGGCACCUAUCCAUACACAGAAGAAGAUCCUAGUGAAUUAUGAAAUGAGUUUCAAGAACCCAAAAAAGAAAAGGAAAUUACCCCAGUAAGCUCCUCUUUGAACAAGAUCCCUACCAAUUAAUGGCCAUUUGUUUCUAAUAAGUUUUUGUUUUGAGAACCUUCUUUUUGUGAUGUCUUUUGGGAAUUGAGUUCUUCAUCCCUAUGAAAAACAGAAGUGCCCCAAAAAGUGCCAUAUUCUGUGUGAAUUUGAUGAAAAGUUUAUUAAAUUCUCUCUCCUCAGCGUCAUAAUUGUAGAAAUCAUAUAAUAUUGGCGUAGCAAUUAUCUGAUGCAGAAGCAGAAGAUAGGCUCCAAGUGAGCUGCCAAAAAUAAAAAGGAUGCCUCCAAUACCCUUGGCAACUAUAGCUGCAGUGACUAACUGUUUGACUUCAAUUUCUGGUACAUGUAUGCCGGCAUGAGAGUGCGCGUGGCUGGUAAACACCUCAAACUUUGGUUUGAGAGUUUUCAGUGCUGGUCCCCCAUCAACCCCAAAUUCAUUAAACUCUUGGUAAGCAGAAAGUAUAAAAACUGAGGCAAAGAGGAGUCUCCCAAGAAACGAAGUGAAAGCCAUCGAUGAUUUUUCUUUCUGGUUUUAGAAAGAGUGAAAGAGAAGCACCGGGAUGUGAAUCUCUCUCUUUUGUUUGCUUCGGGACAGAGAAACAGAUGCUUU